rnacentral:pre_miRNA from 1 species
AGUGGGUUGCUGGGUCAUUUGUUAAAUAUAUAUAUUUUUUUAACUUUCUGAGAAACUGUCAAACUGCUUUGCAGAGUUGCUGAACCAUUUUGUAUUUCCAUCAGCAAU